rnacentral:rRNA from 1 species
GGAAUUUUCCGCAAUGGGCGCAAGCCUGAACGUGCGACGCCGCGUGUGGGAUGAAGGCCUUCGGGUUGUAAACCACUGUCAGGGGCUAACAAUAAGCGUGUAACCCACGUGAUGAGUUAAACCCCAGAGGAAGUGACAGCUAACUACGUGCCAGCAGCUGCGGUAAUACGUAGGUCGCGAACGUUAUUCGGAUUUACUGGGCUUAAAGGGCGUGUAGGCGGCAGCGUAAGUCAAGGUUGAAAUCCGGCGGCUCACCCGUCGAACUGGCCUUGUUACUGCGUUGCUUGAGUCAUGGAGGGGUGCGCGGAACUUGUGGUGGAGCGGUGAAAUGCUCAGAUAUCACAGGGAACACCGGAGGCGAAGGCGGCGCACUGGCCAUGUACUGACGCUGUAGCGCGAAAGCCAGGGGAGCGAA